rnacentral:rRNA from 1 species
GACGAACGCUGGCGGCGUGCUUAACACAUGCAAGUCGAACGGAAAGGCCCUGCUUUUGUGGGGUGCUCGAGUGGCGAACGGGUGAGUAGCACGUGAGUAACCUGCCCUUGACUUUGGGAUAACUUCAGGAAACUGGGGCUAAUACCGGAUAGGAGCUCCUGCUGCAUGGUGGGGGUUGGAAAGUUUCGGCGGUUGGGGAUGGACUCGCGGCUUAUCAGCUUGUUGGUGGGGUAGUGGCUUACCAAGGCUUUGACGGGUAGCCGGCCUGAGAGGGUGACCGGCCACAUUGGGACUGAGAUACGGCCCAGACCCCUACGGGAGGCAGCAGUGGGGAAUAUUGCACAAUGGGCGGAGGCCUGAUGCAGCAACGCCGCGUGCGGGAUGACGGCCUUCGGGUUGUAAACCGCUUUCGCCUGUGACGAAGCGUGAGUGACGGUAAUGGGUAAAGAAGCACCGGCUAACUACGUG